rnacentral:rRNA from 1 species
UACGUAGGGUGCAAGCGUUAAUCGGAAUUACUGGGCGUAAAGCGUGCGCAGGCGGUUGGUUAAGUCUGAUGUUAAAGCCCCGGGCUCAACUUGGGAAUGGCAUUGGAAACUGGCUGGCUAGAGUGUGGCAGAGGGGGGUGGAAUUCCGCGUGUAGCAGUGAAAUGCGUAGAGAUGCGGAGGAACACCGAUGGCGAAGGCAGCCCCCUGGGCUGACACUGACGCUCAGGCACGAAAGCGUGGGGAGCAAACAGG